rnacentral:rRNA from 1 species
AAGUAGGGGAUCGCAAGACCUUGCGCUUUUGGAGCGGCCGAUGUCUGAUUAGCUAGUUGGUGAGGUAAAGGCUUACCAAGGCGUCGAUCAGUAGCUGGUCUGAGAGGACGACCAGCCACACUGGGACUGAGACACGGCCCAGACUCCUACGGGAGGCAGCAGUGGGGAAUUUUGGACAAUGGGGGAAACCCUGAUCCAGCCAUGCCGCGUGAGUGAAGAAGGCCUUCGGGUUGUAAAGCUCUUUCAGCCGGAACGAAAAGGUCACAGCUAAUACCUGUGAUCACU